UCUUCCCUCUGCCUCCCUCCUUUCUAGGGGCUGCCUCCUAGAAAAUCCUUCUGAUGGCUAACCUUUAUCAUUGAUGCAUCUCAAUACAGGAACCAAAGAGGAACCCCUGUCCUGGAGAACACACCUUCAAGAGGGGCUUAGGGGCCAACCUCUGAGUUCUUUAUGUGAGACUUUCAUUAUACCCCACUUCAGAGCAUAUACAACCAUUCCAGCUGAGACAUGGUUCCCCAUCCCCAUCUCCCAGCUGCACGCUUAUUUCCUCCCAUCUCUCUGUCUCCAUUUUACACAGGGUGUAAGAAUAAUAGCUCGACCGGGUGCGGUGGCUCACGCCUGUAACUCCAGCACUUUGGGAGGCCGAGGUGGGCAGAUCACUAGAGGUCAGGAGUUUGAGACCAGCCUGGCCAAUAUGGUGAAACUCUGUCUCUAUUAAAAAUUACAAAAAAUUGGCCAGGCAUGGUAGCGGGAGCCUGUAGUCCCAGCUACUCGGGAGGCUGAGGCAGGAGAAUCGCUUGAACCCGGGAAGCGGAGGUUGCAGUGAGCUGAGAUCACACCACUGCACUCCAGCCUGGGCGACAGAACGAGACUCUGUCUCAAACAAACAAACAAACAAACAAGAAUAAUAGCUAACAGUAUAUUUCACUGUUAAAUCUUUAGUAGCCCAUUUUACAGUUGAGAACAGUGAGGUACAAAGAGGUAAAGUAAUUUGCUGGAGGUAAAGCUGUGAAUCCAGGUGCUCUGACACUCAAAUUGAUACUCUGGGCUUUGCAUUUGGGGCAGGGAGGACUAGCACCACUUUCUGAGGUCUCUGCUUUUCUGGCUCUACCUGCAGCCUGUUCUCCCAGCCCCCUCCCCUCUUUAAUCGCUCACCUCCCUUCACCCCACCCAUGUCUUUGACUUGUCAUUAUCUUCACUUCUUUCAAAUCCUGAUUUAAAGGGAGACACACAGGCACUCCCGUCAGCACCAGGGUUUUACACCCAGGGCCUGGCAGGUGCUGGAAAUUCCAGCAAUACCCCACACCUGGCAUCCCUUCAAGGGAACUACAGCUUUUGCAGCUGAGGCCUCUGCAGGCAGCAAGUUUCAGUGGUCACCACUGAGAUGGUAAGGUGAGGACAGGGGAAGCUGGCAUUUUUGGCCUUGAUACCGGAGAAAGACAAGGGAUACCCUGUUUUGAGGUGGGGGGUGGGUACAGAGAGAGAUGGGCACUGACCUCUGAUUCAUUAGCCUAGAACCCUUAGGGAAGUUUUCCUAGGUAUUCUUGCAGAAAGCAGAAAUGGAG
rnacentral:lncRNA from 1 species